rnacentral:tRNA from 1 species
AAAAAUAUUAUUUUUUAAUAAGUUUUA